GAUGAACGCUGGCGGCAUGCCUAAUACAUGCAAGUCGAACGGACCGAAGGGAAAGCUUGCUUUCCUGGAAGUCAGUGGCGAACGGGUGAGUAACACGUAGGUAACCUGCCCAUGUGCCCGGGACAACGCCUGGAAACGGGUGCUAAACCCGGAUAGGUAGAGAGAUCGCGUGAACUUUCUAUGAAAGGGGCUACGGCCCUGAACAUGGAUGGACCUGCUGUGCAUUAGCUAGUGGGUGAGGUAACGGCCCACCAAGGCGACGAUGCAUAGCCGACCGGAGAGGGCGAACGGCCACAUUGGGACUGAGACACGGCCCAAACUCCUACGGGAGGCAGCAGUAGGGAAUUUUCGUCAAUGGGGGGAACCCUGAACGAGCAAUGCCGCGUGAGUGAAGACGGUCUUCGGAUUGUAAAGCUCUGUUGCGAGAGAAAAACGACACGGAUAGGGAAUGAUCCGUGGGUGAUGGUAUCUCGCCAGAAAGUCACGGCUAACUACGUGCCAGCCGCCGCAGUAA
rnacentral:rRNA from 1 species